UAGUCCACGCCGUAAACGAUGGAUACUAGGUGUCCGGGAUAUUAACCUCCUGGGUACUACAGUUAACGCGUUAAGUAUCCCGCCUGGGGAGUACGGUCGCAAGGCUAAAACUCAAAGGAAUUGACGGGGGCCCGCGCAAGCGGUGGAGUAUGUGGUUUAAUUCGAAGCAACGCGCAGAACCUUACCUACCCUUAACAUUUCACGACGUAUACAGAGAUGUAUAUUUCUCUUCGGAGACGUGAGGAUAGGUGCUGCAUGGCCGUCGUCAGCUCGUGUCGUGAGAUGUUGGGUUAAGUCCCGUAACGAGCGCAACCCUUGUCCUUAGUUGCCAGCACGUAAUGGUGGGACUCUAACAAGACUGCCAGUGUAAACUGUGAGGAAGGUGGGGAUGACGUCAAAUCAUCACGGCCCUUACGCCUUGGGCCACACACGUGCUACAAUGGGCGGUACAGAGAGCAGCUACUGGGUGACCAGAUGCGAAUCUUCAAAACCGUUCUCAGUUCGGAUCGAAGUCUGCAACUCGA
rnacentral:rRNA from 1 species